rnacentral:rRNA from 1 species
AAUCAACGCUGGCGGCGUGCCUCAGACAUGCAAGUCGAACGAUUAAAGCUCUCUUCGGAGAGUGCAUAGAGUGGCGCACGGGUGAGUAACACGUAAGUAAUCUACCCUCGAGUGGGGAAUAACGUCCGGAAACGGACGCUAAUACCGCAUAAUGCAGCGGCACCGCAAGGUGCCAGUUGUUAAAGAUGUAUUGCUUGAGGAGGAGCUUGCGGCAGAUUAGCUAGUUGGUAAGGUAAUGGCUUACCAAGGCUACGAUCUGUAACCGGUCUAAGAGGACGGUCGGUCACACUGACACUGAAUAACGGGUCAGACUCCUACGGGAGGCAGCAGUCGGGAAUUUUGGGCAAUGGGCGAAAGCCUGACCCAGCAACGCCGCGUGAAGGAUGAAGUAUUUCGGUAUGUAAACUUCGAAAGAAUAGGAAGAAUUAAUGACGGUACUAUUUAUAAGGUCCGGCUAACUACGUGCCAGCCGCCGCAGUAAUAC